rnacentral:lncRNA from 10 species
GCCGGGCUUGGUGGCGCGUGCCUGUAAUCCCAGCUACUUGGGAGGUGAGGUAGGAGAAUUGCUUGAACCCGGGUGGCAGAGUUUGCAGUGAGCCAAGAUUGUGCCAUUGCACUUCAGCCUGGGCAACAAGAGUGAAACUCUGUCUCAAUAAUAAUAGUAAUAAUAAUUUAAUUUAAUUUUUUUUUUUGAGACAGAGUCUCACUCUGUUGCCCGGGGCUGGAGUGCAGUGGUGCAAUCUUGUCUCACUGCAACCUCCAACUCCCAGGUUCAAGGGAUUCUCCUGC